UUCGCUUGGCUAAGUGCGCGCCUCGCCUCGCCACUGAAACCAGUUAGUAGAAGAAAAUUUUGUUCAGAGGAAACUAAGACCGACGCCGACGUCACGAUGGCUGCGAUUUGAUUAUUUCGAAUGCACAUACUAGUACUUAGAUUAAUAAACGUGAACGCAAUCCGUGGCCCUGCCUGCCGCCGGGUCGCUGACGGCACGGCAGCACCUGCCUGCACCUGUGGCAGAUAAUAUCGGGACCAAUUUUUAGUUAAACUUUAGUUCCGACUUACGAAUCGGAUAUUCCGUUAUUCUGUUACGCUAAAAACUAAACUGUACAGAGUGUUAAAAAUUGCUAAAUGCGAAACGAGCUGGCGAAGAGUACAAAGAUUAAAAUUGAAGAAAAGCUAACUAGCCCGCCGAGUAUCGUAUAGUGAUAGUCUAGUGUUGAAUAAACAAGUGAAAAAUAUAAAAUAUAUGUAUACACAAGUAAAAAAUACGAAACGAAAUCCCACUCUUUUGCAACCAUUAAGCAGUGAUUCGCGCGAAAACAAAUACUAAACUGAACUUGUAUCAAGUACGUUCAAAUUGGCAUCGAAAUUGGAACAACCAAUACACCAAUCAGCAAUCAUGAUGCUAACAACUGAACACAUAAUGCAUGGGCAUCAUCCCCACUCUUCGGUCGGUCAGAGUGCGUUGUUCGGAUGCUCCACUGCGGGUCAUAGUGGUAUUAAUCAGUUAGGCGGCGUCUAUGUAAAUGGCCGUCCACUGCCCGACUCAACGCGUCAAAAGAUAGUCGAGCUGGCUCACUCGGGCGCUCGUCCAUGUGAUAUUUCGAGAAUACUUCAAGUUUCAAAUGGCUGCGUAAGCAAAAUAUUGGGCAGAUACUAUGAAACGGGAUCAAUCAAACCUCGAGCAAUAGGUGGUUCCAAACCACGAGUAGCUACAACGCCGGUCGUACAAAAAAUUGCAGAUUACAAGCGGGAAUGUCCCAGCAUAUUUGCUUGGGAAAUUCGAGAUCGACUACUUUCGGAGCAAGUUUGCAAUAGUGAUAACAUUCCAAGUGUUUCAUCUAUAAAUCGAGUCUUGCGCAAUUUGGCAUCGCAAAAGGAGCAGCAAGCGCAGCAGCAAAACGAGUCUGUCUAUGAAAAGCUCCGCAUGUUCAAUGGACAAACCAGUGGUUGGGCAUGGUAUCCAAGCAACACAACGGCACACUUGGCCCUACCGCCAACACCAACGGCCCUGCCGACGCCAACGAAUUUAUCUGGACAAAUUAACCGGGACGAAGUUCAAAAGCGAGAUAUAUAUCCCGGUGAUGUAUCUCACCCCUCGCACGAGAGUACGUCAGAUGGCAAUUCCGAUCACAAUUCAUCUGGAGACGAGGACUCUCAAAUGCGGCUACGGCUGAAAAGAAAACUUCAGCGCAAUCGAACCUCUUUUACCAAUGAACAAAUUGACAGCCUGGAGAAAGAAUUUGAGCGAACACAUUACCCGGACGUAUUUGCGCGAGAGAGACUUGCUGAAAAAAUUGGUUUGCCAGAGGCACGUAUUCAGGUAUGGUUCUCUAACCGGAGGGCCAAGUGGCGGCGAGAGGAAAAGAUGCGCACUCAAAGACGGUCCGCAGAUAAUGUAGGUGGCAGUAGCGGUAGAGCCAGCACAAAUAAUCAACCAAGUACAGCUGCAUCUUCCUCCGUCACACCGUCGAGCAACUCGACGCCCGGUAUUGUUAGCUCAGCGGGCAACGGCAUUGGUUCGGAAGGAGCAUCGUCAGCUAUAAUCAGCAACAACACCCUACCCGAUACAUCCAAUGCCCCAACUGUUCUCGGAGGUGACGCCAAUGCCACGCAUACAAGCUCGGAAAGCCCACCACUUCAAGCUGUAGCACCGCGCAUACCCCUAAACGCUGGCUUCAAUGCUAUGUACUCCUCUAUCCCGCAGCCCAUAGCAACGAUGGCAGAAAAUUACAACUCAAUGACCUCUUCGUUAGGCUCGAUGACGCCCACAUGCCUGCAACAAAGGGACAGCUAUCCCUAUAUGUUUCACGAUCCGCUGUCUCUAGGAUCUCCGUAUGCUCCGCCCCACCAUCGAAACGCACCGUGCAAUCCAGCAGCUGCACACCAACAACCUCCUCAACACGGAGUUUAUGGUAACAGUUCUUCAAUGACAUCGAACACAGGUGUUAUCUCUGCCGGUGUGUCUGUUCCCGUGCAGAUAUCAACGCAGAAUGUAUCAGAUCUAGCGGGUAGUAAUUACUGGCCGCGUCUUCAGUGAUCGUCAAUUUUUAAUUUGCCUUCUGCGCUCCUAUCCAAGGCAGCAGCCGCCGCGGUAGCAGUUGCUACCGUACAUGCAGUUGAGGAGCAGGAUAAGUAUCAACAAGCGCAUUCGGUUGUUAGUGAGGAAGCUACAAACACCAGCGAUAUCAAUAGCCCACCAAAUUUUAUUCCACAAAUGGCACUAUGUUCACACCUGAAGAUGAGCGAAGGUGCGAAGAAGGGUCAAGCUCUUACGCGUCCAACAUCGCUAUCCGCAUCAGUGUCUACAACAUCACCGAUUUUUGAUCCAGAUGGUCUUGGUCCUGAUCUUGACGCGAGCCACAUCCAGACUGUCAAUUGCAAAUAAUAUAACAAAUGAGCACCUCGACACAAUGCCAUUCCCUAUCUCUUUCCCGGCUUAGGCGAUACACAUAUUAAGUAGAUCAGAUCAGUGCCCUAGUACAUCUAUUAUUUUUGGAAACGCAAUUUACAUACAUAAAUACAUAUAUAGUUGCAUAAAUAGGAUACUAUUCAACUAACUAAGCAGAGUUAUUCAGUUACGUACAUAUGGAUGUACAUAUUUAUUUUAAUUUAUGAAAAUUCAUCAAAUUUCAUAUAUGGCAUACACAUAUGCCAUAUAUGUACAUACAUAUAUGCCAUAUGUACAUACAUACAUAUAUAAGAAGAUAAUAAUGAAUAUGGGAAUGCAACACCAUUGGCGAAUCAAGCCUAAAUAUAGAUCUCUCCAUACAUACAUAUGUAUGUAUAAUGUAUUUAUUAUUAUUUAUUGGGAUUGCUAUGCUAUCCAACUGUAUGAAGUGUGUGGAAACAUACAUACAUACAUAUGAGUGUAUAAUCGAAAUUAAUUGCAACGAACUUAAUUUCCAAUAACAUACGAGUAUUUAAGACAACUCAUUAAGACAGAGACACCGACACCUCCCUAGAAUAUAAGUCUUCAGUUUUAAAUAAUGUAUAUGUUUAUGUAUUUAAUAACUUAUGUAUGUAUUUAGCAUAUGGUUCGAAUUUAUAUAUAGAAAAAGUCGAUGUAUGUAAUAAGCCAGUGAACUUACUCAUGUAUGUUGCAUAUUAACACACAUACACAUGUACAUAUGACCAUACAUGCAUACGCAUAUGUUUGUAUUUCUGACGUUCUUAAAAAAGAUUUAAUAAAAUACUACAAAUGUACACGUA
rnacentral:misc_RNA from 1 species